rnacentral:rRNA from 1 species
UACCAGCACCCCGAGUGGUCGGGACGUUUAUUGGGCCUAAAGCAUCCGUAGCCGGUUCUACAAGUCUUCCGUUAAAUCCACCUGCUUAACAGAUGGGCUGCGGAAGAUACUAUAGAGCUAGGAGGCGGGAGAGGCAAGCGGUACUCGAUGGGUAGGGGUAAAAAUCCGUUGAUCCAUUGAAGACCACCAGUGGCGAAGGCGGCUUGCCAGAACGCGCUCGACGGUGAGGGAUGAAAGCUGGGGGAGCAAACCGGG